AACUAAUACUCAACUACUAUUACUACAUGCUCAUUCGAGUUCGAAUUAAAAGACAUCCCCAAGAGUUCAGACCUGCCUGCCUUGCUUAAAUUAGGUUGAAAUGAAUCCUCAAUGUGGUAGCAGCCACCAACCUUGAUGGGAUGGGAGACCUGAAUUAUCCUGAAUUUGAGCUUAAACCAUGAGCAUUCUAAAAAAGAAGCAAUGUAGCUUAACCCAAAAUUUUGAGAGGACGUAAACUAAUUGUAUCCUGAUCGACCCUCCUUCCUACCGCGAAACCGGGUUGGCAAAUCCUGUUUUCUGUCAAACUGAGUGUUCUCAUCACGAGUCACGAUUCUCAAGGGGUGGGCUUCGGUGUUAAACACCCAUUCAUCCAGAGAGAUGACAGACGAAGGCGAAAACAGCAGGUAGAGAUAUUUAAGUGUCUCGGCAAGGAAGAAGCUCUGCAUCAUGUUGUCUUUGACACCUGUAUUCACAUCCUUGAGUCCAACAUAUCCUGUCUCUAUGCGAGAGUUCCUUUCAAAUGCUUGGAAAAUAUUCCAACCCCAUUCUUGGUAUGUCUUGUUCCCAGUUAAACGCCAGAGGUAAAAGAGCGACUCAACCGUUUCAGGCCUCAAAAUGUUCCAUGAUGUCCCAACACUCAUGUCCCGUCCAUCAUGAAAGAAAUAGUUUUCUCCAGCCAAUUUUGUAGGUGUUGAUUGGUAGAAGUUAUAGCAAGUCCACGCAAGCUCUUCAGCGAGUGAUAGCAUUUUUGAAGCUUCUCCAGUGUCAUAACCAAAAGAACCUAAUGCCAACAUGCCAGGGGAAAAACAAGCCAAUUCAUCCAUCUUGUCAGACAUCUGAUUUCCAUUCUUCUCACGUAUGUAUGCGAAGGAUGAUGGUGUUGUCCUAUGAACCAAGCUUUGAAAACCUUUCAUUGAUGUCUCCCACAUUUCUCUGUAAAGUUUUACAGCUUCUGUUUUGUUCCCUUGCAUCCAAACCUUGAGUAAAUACUCAUAGAAGCUAUCACCCAUGGCACCAAAUGUGAUCACUGAGUAUGAAGACAUUCCAGUGUGAGGAUUAAUAUAUAUGGGAAGCAAACCAUCAGC
rnacentral:misc_RNA from 1 species